UCUGUCACCUACUCCCUCUCCUUGUCUCAUGGAUUUAAACCCUGCCCGUGCGGUCCUCCUUGUUGGUGUCUACUGCUCUGUUCCGUCCCUGUCGGUACCCAGUGUUCCUGUCGUCUGGGUUUUCCCUCGGUCUGUCUGGAGGCUCACGGUGGGACUCAAUGAGAUGGGUGGGUGAACGGGCGCCUCCCACCAUUAAAGCGCUAAAUGGGAUGAGGAGCGUCCCUCCGGGGAGGUCAAGGUCAGCAGGUUCCUGAUGAAAGUCCCAAAAUGAAGGCCGGAGCACACCAUUCGAAGCCAUCGCAACAGGUGGUGAGACGGCAACUUUGGCGGCAAGACGGCUGAGACAAGAGAACGUGGGAGAAAUGGCUCGACGGAGGUAACUUGAUCCGCCGUAGAACUGGAGAACCUCUGUCCACUGAACAUCCAUUUUCCCCUAACCCAACUUUUUUCCGCUGAGCGCUUUUUGAGUGGAGCUCACCCCACUUAAGCGCAGCCACCAAGUUCUUGGUUGUUCUGCUGAGCCUCUCUUGUCAGUGGAACCACAAGCUUCAUCAAUCAUGAGAGACACUGGGAGAUGGGCCAACGGAGCUCCGGAACGCGCAUGCACGCACUGCUGACUACAAUACACUAUGAGAAAAUGAUGAUCAUAAAGGCAAACCUUCAAAGACAAACCAGAGAGGAUGGCCAGCAACUGGGUCAACAACAAGUCAAAUGGGUUGCUCCCAUAGGGUGGUUGGGCCAGUGUAGGUAGCACAUCUACUUGGGUGUUCAGAUCGGCUUGGGGUCCUAACACUUUUGAUGACGUCACAGUUUUUGCAAAAAAAACCCCUUCUAAAACUAAUUUUAAUCUUAUUCAUGGUGUACAGUCCUGGAGUGUUUAUUAAUUGGACCAAAUUAGUUUCAUUAUUUAUGUUUGAAAAAAAAUACGUAGUUAUUGUGAUUUUUUUUUAACAGGUAAUCAGCCAAUUUCCUACCAUCCACUCAAAACAUCUACCAUACAACCCACACUGCUAUUACAAACUGACACGACCACCUG